rnacentral:lncRNA from 1 species
GGGGGGGUGCCAAAUCAGAAUGCGGAUCAUAACGGAUGAUCCGCUGUGGCGACCCCGAACGGGAGCAGCCGAAAGACGAACAACAACAUUUGUUCUUGCUAUUUAUUCUCAUUUCCUGAAUAUUCCCAUUGAAUGAUCUCGGUGGUCCUUCAGCACAGGUGAUGACCCCCUCAGGCCGCAACCCACAGUCACACAGCACCUCGGGUGCGCAAGACCAACAUUCGAGGAGUCAAACUUCUGGGGGUUCUUCCUCAACGUCAUCGGGGCAUGCGGACCAGAGGCCCCACGUCGGAAUUGCACAGUUUUCUGGCCCGCUAAGUAGGGGGGGGGGGGGGGGGGGGGGGGGGGGGGGGGGGGGGGGGGGGGGGGGGGGGGGGGGGGGGGGGGGGGGGGGGGGAGAUAACUGGCAUGUCCCAAUGAGCUGGUGGUCCCCUCCAAACGUCACACCAUCAAGGGGCAUCGAUCGUGGUGCGAGUGGUUUUUCCGGAGCACACCAUAUUGAUCUUGGGAAGAGGAGUAAUAUGGGUGAAAGGAUGGAUCGACAUCACUCAGGAAUGGAAGAUCAUUCUGGCAACCAUCCGCCACAAAGACACGGUCCCUCAAGCGGUCCGCCACAGACAAGCUCCGCUUCUGUAGCUCGGCAACCACACCAUCAACAUCAGGUCGGGGAAGGAAUUAAAUUGCGUCGGCAUUCUGAAGGGAGAUCAGGCUCUUCCACAGAAGGGAGUCAUACACCUGAUUCUACAGGUAGUAACACUCGUAAGACAUGGUGCUGAGUCUCCCCAGAAAUGAGAGAUCGGCUUCCUCCAUGUGCACCACCAAGAGGGGGGGGGGGGGGGGGGGGGGGGGGGGGGGGGGGGGGGGGGGGGGGGGGGGUAUGCAGAGUUGUCAGUUGCCUAUACACCGUCCAAAUAAAGGUAUGCGUCAGAAGAACGUGUUGCAUGCUUGAAACAAGAUCGCCCG